CUUAAGCUGUUGCGGUUAAGAGCUCCAUCUGGGCUUGGUCACUGAGGAUUUAAAACGUGAUCCUGUGACAGUUUAAAUAAGUACUUGUCAACCCAUGUCAAAAAAGGUAACAGAAAGAGAGAGUCUUCAGGAUCACCUGACAACAUGAUUGGAAGGCAUGGACAGUUUUCCACAGAAGGAGAAGACUGGAACUUUUCAUUUAGAGAGGAG